AUGAACGCUGGCGGCGUGCCUAAUCCAUGCACGUCGAGCGAACAGACGAGGAGCUUGCUCCUCUGACGUUAGCGGCGGACGGGUGAGUAACACGUGGAUAACCUACCUAUAAGACUGGGAUAACUUCGGGAAACCGGAGCUAAUACCGGAUAAUAUAUUGAACCGCAUGGUUCAAUAGUGAAAGACGGUUUUGCUGUCACUUAUAGAUGGAUCCGCGCCGCAUUAGCUAGUUGGUAAGGUAACGGCUUACCAAGGCAACGAUGCGUAGCCGACCUGAGAGGGUGAUCGGCCACACUGGAACUGAGACACGGUCCAGACUCCUACGGGAGGCAGCAGUAGGGAAUCUUCCGCAAUGGGCGAAAGCCUGACGGAGCAACGCCGCGUGAGUGAUGAAGGUCUUCGGAUCGUAAAACUCUGUUAUUAGGGAAGAACAAAUGUGUAAGUAACUAUGCACGUCUUGACGGUACCUAAUCAGAAAGCCACGGCUAACUACGUG
rnacentral:rRNA from 1 species